rnacentral:rRNA from 1 species
AGAAUCAACGCUGGCGGCGUGCCUAACACAUGCAAGUCGAUCGAGAAAGUGGAGCAAUCCAUGAGUAAAGAGGCGCACGGGUGAGUAACACGUGACUAACCUACCCUCGAGUGGGGAAUAACCUGGGGAAACCCGGGCUAAUACCGCAUAAUACCCACGGGUCAAAGGAGCAAUUCGCUUGGGGAGGGGGUCGCGGCAGAUUAGUUAGUUGGCGGGGUAAUGGCCCACCAAGACGAUGAUCUGUAUCCGGCCUGAGAGGGCGCACGGACACACUGGAACUGAAACACGGUCCAGACUCCUACGGGAGGCAGCAGUGGGAAUUUUGCGCAAUGGGGGAAACCCUGACGCAGCAACGCCGCGUGGAGGAUGAAGUCCCUUGGGACGUAAACUCCUUUCGACCGGGACGAUAAUGGACGGUACCGGAUGAAGAAGCCCCGGCUAACUUCGCGCCAGCAGCCGC